CUUGAAACACGGACCAAGGAGUUUAUCGUGUACGCAAGUCAUUGGGCGUUUAAAACCCAAAGGCGAAAUGAAAGUAAAGAGUUGAAAUUUGUAAAAAAAAAUUUUUUUUUUUUACAAACUCUCUUAAGGGAAGAUGGAAAUAUCGCAUAUAUUUAUAUGUGUGGAAAUAUUUCUCGCACUCCCAGGGCGCUUGUAUCUCGCUUAGCGAAUCAGUGCGCACCUAGAGCGUACACGAUGAUACCCGAAAGAUGGUGAACUAUGCCUGGCCAGGACGAAGCCAGGGGAAACCCUGGUGGAGGUCCGCAGCGAUUCUGACGUGCAAAUCGAUCGUCGGAGCUGGGUAUAGGGGCGAAAGACCAAUCGAACCAUCUAGUAGCUGGUUCCCUCUGAAGUUUCCCUCAGGAUA
rnacentral:rRNA from 1 species